rnacentral:rRNA from 1 species
AGGGAAUCUUCCGCAAUGGGCGAAAGCCUGACGGAGCAACGCCGCGUGAGUGAUGAAGGGUUUCGGCUCGUAAAACUCUGUUAUUAGGGAAGAACAAACGUGUAAGUAACUGUGCACGUCUUGACGGUACCUAAUCAGAAAGCCACGGCUAACUACGUGCCAGCAGCCGCGGUAAUACGUAGGUGGCAAGCGUUAUCCGGAAUUAUUGGGCGUAAAGCGCGCGGAGGCGGUUUCUUAAGUCUGAUGUGAAAGCCCACGGCUCAACCGUGGAGGGUCAUUGGAAACUGGGAAACUUGAGUGCAGAAGAGGAAAGUGGAAUUCCAUGUGUAGCGGUGAAAUGCGCAGAGAUAUGGAGGAACACCAGUGGCGAAGGCGACUUUCUGGUCUGUAACUGACGCUGAUGUGCGAAAGCGUGG